rnacentral:rRNA from 1 species
AUCAUGCAGUCGAGCGGACCGAAGGGAGCUUGCUCCUUUAGGUUAGCGGCGGACGGGUGAGUAACACGUGGGCAACCUGCCCUGCAGACUGGGAUAACUUCGGGAAACCGGAGCUAAUACCGGAUAACACCGAAAACCGCAUGGUUUUCGGUUGAAAGGCGGCUUUUAGCUGUCACUGCAGGAUGGGCCCGCGGCGCAUUAGCUAGUUGGUGAGGUAACGGCUCACCAAGGCGACGAUGCGUAGCCGGCCUGAGAGGGUGACCGGCCACACUGGGACUGAGACACGGCCCAGACUCCUACGGGAGGCAGCAGUAGGGAAUCUUCCGCAAUGGACGAAAGUCUGACGGAGCAACGCCGCGUGAGUGAAGAAGGUUUUCGGAUCGUAAAACUCUGUUGUGAGGGAAGAACAAGUAUCAACUAACUAUUGGUACCUUGACGGUACCUCACCAGAAAGCCACGGCUAACUACGUGCCAGCAGCCGCGGUAAU